UGAGGAAUAUUGGUCAAUGGGGGCAACCCUGAACCAGCCAUGCCGCGUGAAGGAUUAAGGCCCUACGGGUUGUAAACUUCUUUUGUUCGCGACGAAACUUAGGUACGUGUACCUAACUGACGGUACCGAAUGAAUAAGCAACGGCUAACUCCGUGCCAGCAGCCGCGGUAAUACGGAGGUUGCAAGCGUUAUCCGGAUUUAUUGGGUUUAAAGGGUGCGUAGGCGGAUUUGUAAGUCAGUGGUGAAAUCCUGCAGCUUAACUGUAGAACUGCCAUUGAUACUGCUAAUCUUGAGUACAAUUGAGGUAGGCGGAAUGUGUAGUGUAGCGGUGAAAUGCUUAGAUAUUACACAGAACACCGAUUGCGAAGGCAGCUUACUAAACUGUAACUGACGCUGAGGCACGAAAGCAUGGGGAGCAAACAGG
rnacentral:rRNA from 1 species